CCUACGGGAGGCAGCAGUGAGGAAUAUUGGUCAAUGGGCUUACGCCUGAACCAGCCAAGUCGCGUGAGGGAAGACUGCCCUCUGGGUUGUAAACCUCUUUUGUCAGGGAGCACCGCCGGCUACGUGUAGCCGGACUGAGAGUACCUGAAGAAAAAGCAUCGGCUAACUCCGUGCCAGCAGCCGCGGUAAUACGGAGGAUGCGAGCGUUCUCCGGAUUUAUUGGGUUUAAAGGGUGCGUAGGCGGAAUGCCAAGUCAGCGGUAAAAUCGCGGGGCUCAACCUCGCUCCGCCGUUGAAACUGGCGUUCUUGAGUGGGCGAGAGGUAUGCGGAAUGCGUGGUGUAGCGGUGAAAUGCAUAGAUAUCACGCAGAACUCCGAUUGCGAAGGCAGCAUACCGGCGCCCAACUGACGCUGAAGCACGAAAGCGUGGGUAGCGAACAGGAUUAGAUACCCUUGUAGUC
rnacentral:rRNA from 1 species